UUAGUGGUGUCCGGCAUAUCCUUACGAUCCCUAGCGCACUUCACUAGUGCACUUCACUGAAGUGGGCAACUGGGCUCAGGCGCCAAGAUGAUGCAGCUAUCCGAGAGGCACAGGACUUCCUCCAUCUUAUGGAUAUAGAGUGGGCUCAAAAGGUAUCUUCCAAGUCCCUAGCCUCUGUCGGAGAGAGAAAAUACAACAAAAUUAAUCUACUUCCUCUGGCGGAGGAUCUUGCAAUGCUUAGGGCGUACCUGGACAAAAAUCCCCAGACAAGAAAGUGAAAUUUUAGUUUGGGUUAGGCUACACCUAUAAAAAGGAUAUCACAGACUCGUGUAAUACAAAUGUUUACCCAACAGAGAAGCAUAGUGCUGGCAUACCAGAAAUGCAUAAAGCUAAUGUUUUUUUACUUUAUUUUCCAGAAUUAUCAAGCACUGGCCAAGUUUCUCAUAUCUAGUAAAAGACAAGUGUUAGUGGUAGUGCUCCCCCAACAUUACAGGAGGGUCUUUCCAUUUGAAGCUAUAGCAGCAGUCAGCUGUACUUUAGUAGUGCCCAGUCUUUUAACAGUCUUCAUAAUAAAAUCUUGUAGGACAUGCUCACAAUGCCACAAAUACAAUUGUCUGCAAUAGAAAGCCUGUUUUACUUUUUUUUUAAAUCUAUGUCUCGUACUAUAUACCAGAUUUCUGUUACAUGAUAAUAGCAAACUCAAGUAUAGAAUAUGUGAAAAAUUUGUUUUGGUGAAGAUGAGAAACAACUGACACCCUUCAGUGCUUAUGUACAGUAGACAAUUACUUAUCUAUAAAAAAAACUAAAAAUAGUAAAAGCUAGCUGAAAAAAUGUAUAAAAUAGUAAUAAAUUUCAUUUCUAAUA